UACGGUGAACAAGCUUGCUCUGUGGAUCAGUGGCGAACGGGUGAGUAACACGUGAGCAACCUGCCCUGGACUCUGGGAUAAGCGCUGGAAACGGCGUCUAAUACUGGAUACGAGACGUGGCCGCAUGGUCAACGUUUGGAAAGAUUUUUUGGUUCAGGAUGGGCUCGCGGCCUAUCAGCUUGUUGGUGAGGUAAUGGCUCACCAAGGCGUCGACGGGUAGCCGGCCUGAGAGGGUGACCGGCCACACUGGGACUGAGACACGGCCCAGACUCCUACGGGAGGCAGCAGUGGGGAAUAUUGCACAAUGGGCGAAAGCCUGAUGCAGCAACGCCGCGUGAGGGAUGACGGCCUUCGGGUUGUAAACCUCUUUUAGCAAGGAAGAAGCGAAAGUGACGGUACUUGCAGAAAAAGCGCCGGCUAACUACGUGCCAGCAGCCGCGGUAAUACGUAGGGCGCAAGCGUUAUCCGGAAUUAUUGGGCGUAAAGAGCUCGUAGGCGGUUUGUCGCGUCUGCUGUGAAAACUGGAGGCUCAACCUCCAGCCUGCAGUGGGUACGGGCAGACUAGAGUGCGGUAGGGGAGAUUGGAAUUCCUGGUGUAGCGGUGGAAUGCGCAGAUAUCAGGAGGAACACCGAUGGCGAAGGCAGAUCUCUGGGCCGUAACUGACGCUGAGGAGCGAAAGGGUGGGGAGCAAACAGGCUUAGAUACCCUGGUAGUCCACCCCGUAAACGUUGGGAACUAGUUGUGGGGACCAUUCCACGGUUUCCGUGACGCAGCUAACGCAAAAG
rnacentral:rRNA from 1 species